UGUGAGGUCCGGAGCCAGCGGGUUACCUUUGUAUGUUCCUCCCGUUGGCAUCAGCUUGACCUUCUC
rnacentral:sRNA from 1 species